GACGAACGCUGGCGGCGUGCCUAAUACAUGCGAGUAGAACGCUGAAGGAGGAGCUUGCUUCUCUGGAUGAGUUGCGAACGGGUGAGUAACGCGUAGGUAACCUGCCUGGUAGCGGGGGAUAACUAUUGGAAACGAUAGCUAAUACCGCAUAAGAGUAGAUGUUGCAUGACAUUUGCUUAAAAGGUGCAAUUGCAUCACUACCAGAUGGACCUGCGUUGUAUUAGCUAGUUGGUGGGUAACGGCUCACCAAGGCGACGAUACAUAGCCGACCUGAGAGGGUGAUCGGCCACACUGGGACUGAGACACGGCCCAGACUCCUACGGGAGGCAGCAGUAGGGAAUCUUCGGCAAUGGACGGAAGUCUGACCGAGCAACGCCGCGUGAGUGAAGAAGGUUUUCGGAUCGUAAAGCUCUGUUGUAAGAGAAGAACGAGUGUGAGAGUGGAAAGUUCACACUGUGACGGUAUCUUACCAGAAAGGGACGGCUAACUACGU
rnacentral:rRNA from 1 species